CCCUUAGAUGUUCUGGGCCGCACGCGUGCUACACUAAGUGGAUCAGCGGGUCAGGUUGCGCGAAAGCGUUUCCUAAUCUUUAAAUCCGCUCGUGAUGGGGAUUGACGGUUGCAAUUUUCUGUCAUGAACGAGGAAUACCUUGUAAGCGCGGGUCAUCAUCCCGCGCUGAAUACGUCCCUGCCCUUUGUACACACCGCCCGUCGCUCCUACCGAUUGAAUGCUCAGGUGAGCCAUUCGGACCUUCAUCAUGCCGGUUUCCGGUUUUGAUGAGGGAAAGUCUUGCGAACCUUAUCAUUUAGAGGAAGGAGAAGUCGUAACA
rnacentral:rRNA from 1 species